AUUGAACGCUGGCGGCAGGCCUAAUACAUGCAAGUCGAACGGUAACAUAAAAGAAGCUUGCUUCUUUUGAUGACGAGUGGCGGACGGGUGAGUAAUAUUUGGGAAACUACCUGAUAGAGGGGGACAACAGUUGGAAACGACUGCUAAUACCGCAUAAAGCCUGAGGGUGAAAGCAGCAAUGCGCUAUCAGAUGUGCCCAAACGGGAUUAGCUAGUAGGUGAGGUAAAGGCUCACCUAGGCGACGAUCUCUAGCUGGUCUGAGAGGAUGAUCAGCCACAUUGGGACUGAGACACGGCCCAGACUCCUACGGGAGGCAGCAGUAGGGAAUAUUGCACAAUGGAGGAAACUCUGAUGCAGCCAUGCCGCGUGUGUGAAGAAGGCCUUCGGGUUGUAAAGGCUCUGUCUUUAGGGACGAUAAUGACGGUACCUAAGGAGGAAGCCACGGCUAACUACGUGCCAGC
rnacentral:rRNA from 1 species